AGGGUUUGAUUAUGGCUCAGGAUGAACGCUGGCGGCGUGCCUAACACAUGCAAGUCGAGCGAAGCGAUUCGGAUGAAGUUUUCGGAUGGAUUUUGGAUUGACUGAGCGGCGGACGGGUGAGUAACGCGUGGGUAACCUGCCUCAUACAGGGGGAUAACAGUUAGAAAUGACUGCUAAUACCGCAUAAGCGCACAGUACCGCAUGGUACGGUGUGAAAAACUCCGGUGGUAUGAGAUGGACCCGCGUCUGAUUAGGUAGUUGGUGGGGUAACGGCCUACCAAGCCGACGAUCAGUAGCCGACCUGAGAGGGUGACCGGCCACAUUGGGACUGAGACACGGCCCAA
rnacentral:rRNA from 1 species